rnacentral:rRNA from 1 species
AUUGAACGCUGGCGGCACGCUUAACACAUGCAAGUCGAACGGCAGCAUGGAGCAGUUUACUGUUCUGAUGGCGAGUGGCGGACGGGUGAGUAACGCGUAGGUAGCUGCCCUGAAGUGGGGGAUACCCGACGGAAACGUUGGUUAAUACCGCAUAGACUCUGCGGAGUAAAGUUGCUUUGGAAACGAGGUGAUGCUUUAGGAUGCACCUGCGUCUGAUUAGCUAGUUGGUGAGGUAGAGGCUCACCGAGGCGACGAUCGGUAGCUGCCCUGAGAGGGGGAGCAGCCACACUGGGACUGAGAACGGCCCAG